rnacentral:tRNA from 1 species
AAUUAAUGAGCUUGUAAAAGCAUUUGUUUUGAAAACUUAAGAAAGAAUUCAUUUCUAUUAAUUU